GCGGGGAGCGAGUCCCUCACGGCGGAGGAGGAGGACGGGGACGGGUCAGGAGUCCCCUCUGCAUUUUGGGGGGCAACAGCACUGGGGAAGUGACCAGAACGUGGUGGCCCCUUCCCUCGCCACAAGGAAAAGGGCGAGGAGCCGUCCAGAGACUCACUCAAAGGCCGCCAGAGGAAGGGGUCGGAACACCCCCCGCUGCCCCCCUCGGAAAACUGGGGGGACUUCCCACCUCUCUGGGGCACCUCAGCCCCGUCAAAGGGUGCGGAGAGGGCGGCAGGUCCCACGCGUGCUGCUGACCGAGCUGUGGAAGAUCAGCCCAAAUCUUCCUUCCCUCUUUCCUUCACGGGCCCGGCCCUCGAACAGUUUAAAAGGGCGCUAAAAACCAUUAAAAAACAGUUUAAAGAGCACUAAAGGCAUCUCCCUUGUCCUCCCGGAGCAGCUUCACACUGAGGAUGCUGCGGAAUGCCGCCGCUCACCUCAGCACAACCUGCGCUCACAAAAUUGUGCGCGUUUAUUUAUUUAUCGAUGGUGCAGUAUUACAAGGCAAAAAUGCAGAGCUCGGGCACGGAAGAAACUAGAACACGAUGCUCCCUUCCACGCUGCGGUAGCCACGGGGGUUUUUCGCCCCCGCCCCCCCCCGUUGAGAUUACUGAGGCAGAGGAUGGAUUUAAGAUUCUCAAUAAGCAAGAGAAAAUAAAUUGGAGGGCAGGGUACAAGGCGGAGGGAAAACAAUGGAACUGAUGAAACAAGGGAGGACAGGAAAAUUGAACAAGGCUGAAGAGACGAACAGAAAAGUCUCUGCCACCCGCAGUCCCGGUGUUGGUCAGAUGCGAUGCUGCUUUCAGAACAGUCAAUUCAACCAACAAGAAAUGCAGCUUCAAAGACAAAUAGCUGACCUACCCGGCUUCAGGGCAGAGAUGAGGAGGGGAAAGAAAAAA